rnacentral:rRNA from 1 species
AUGUUUACUCCAACAUCAUCGGCUCGAGCGCUGGGGAAAUCUCUGGUGGUGCCGGCAGACAUCUCGACGGCCAUGGUGACCACCGCCGCAGCAGCGGGCAAGGCGAAGAUGACGGCCCUGGCGAUCACGGCGGGAGAGAGCAUGGCGGAGAUGAAGAAGAAUCUGGCAGUGAACAUCGCCGCCGCCGCCGACGACAAAAACACCCGCAAGGAGAUCGUUGUUGCCGCAGCACCAGCACUGCCACCGGCACCCACACGGCCCAACAUCUUCGCCGUGAUCACCAGGCUCGCCGACCGUCCCUUCCUCAGCGCUGACGCGUCGGGGAAGCUGACCACACUCGGGAAGAAGCUGGCGAAGAAGCUGACGGCGGAAGCGGCCCGCACCAUGAUCAAGAUGGACGUGAAGCAGCUGGUGGACGACCUCGACGCGGCGCUCCAGGCGGCCGAGCUCGCGCUGGACGACAUCGAGCACCAGCACCUGUGCCUCCAGGCGCUCAUCAUGUCGCACCAGGACGACAAGAAGAACCUGGCGAGCAAGCUGCGGUUCGGCCUCAGGCGCUCCCGCAUGAUGCUCCGGAUCGCGAAGCGCCAGGACGAGGUCGAGACCAUCGUCAACAAAGCGUACCGCCGGGUCGUCGGGUCCAGGAAGAAAUCCAAGACGCCAAAAUAUUAA